rnacentral:rRNA from 1 species
AACGAACGCUGGCGGCAGGCCUAACACAUGCAAGUCGAGCGCCCUUUCGGGGGAGCGGCGGACGGGUGAGUAACGCGUGGGAAUAUGCCCUUCUCUACGGAAUAGCCUCGGGAAACUGAGAGUAAUACCGUAAACGCGCUUUGGGGGAAAGAUAUAUCGGGGAAGGAUUAGCCCGCGUUGGAUUAGGUAGUUGGUGGGGUAAUGGCCUACCAAGCCGACGAUCCAUAGCUGGUGUGAGAGGAUGAUCAGCCACACUGGGACUGAGACACGGCCCAGACUCCUACGGGAGGCAGCAGUGGGGAAUCUUAGACAAUGGCGGCAACCCUGAUCUAGCCAUGCCGCGUGAGUGAUGAAGGCCUUAGGGUUGUAAAGCUCUUUCAGCUGGGAAGAUAAUGACGGUACCAGCAGAAGAAGCCCCGGCUAACUCCGUG